UUACGGCCAUAUCACCUUGAAACGCCGAUUCCCGUACGGUUACCGAAGUUAAGCAAUGUCGAGUCUAGUCAGUCCUUAGAUGGAUGACUGCUUGGAAAUAACGUGUUGG